UGGGGCGUAGUUCAACCGGCAGAACGCGUGGCUGUUAACCACGAGGUUGCAGGUUCGAGCCCUGCCGCCCCAGCCA
rnacentral:tRNA from 1 species